rnacentral:lncRNA from 1 species
UAUGAUAAACCGGUUUGUUACUGUAGGUUGUUAUUGGUCAAUAUGAUUUUCAGAAACGUAACAAUGAGUUUUGUGGGUCGUAUGGAUUCCAUAUUUUUUUAUACACAAUAAUCACAUGCAUUAUUUAUUUAAUUGUAGGUUAGUAUUGCUAGAAAUAAGUCCAAAAAGUUCAAUAUUAUACAUGGUUAGCAAGUUAGGUCAAAAACAAACUACAUUAAUAGAUUAGAUUUUUAAUUUUUUGAAAAUAUGCAAUGGUCGAACAAUAUAUCAUGCCUUUUCUGAGUGAUAAGUCAAC